CAGCCAGCCACUUUCUUCUUCCAUUUUCCUGGCCACCAGGUUUCUCGCGCACGUAUCCUGCUCGUCUUCCACCUGCGGCCACCUUCCUCCCUCUGCUCCUGCUCAUCCAUGGAGCCCUGGUAACCGCGCCCCUUGCCAUGGAAUCCCCCUCUCUAUUUCCCUUGAACCCGAGCGCAGGAAGCCGCACCCUUCUCCGCAGGAACAGGAGAAAUUUCUCCUUGGAUCCAUGGCGCCACUCCUCGCCGGGAUCUUGCUCGCCUGCGUGCUCGGCUCCAGGUGCAGCGCCCCUCUCCAUCCCCUCCCCUUCUCCUUCCUCAAGCAAGCAGCCGCUCCCAUAUCCUAGCAGCUCGACCCCACGAGCUCCCAUCUCUCUGCAACCACCAUCUCCAAGUCGGCCAUGGGAUCUUCGUCUUCCCAAGCGCCCAGCCUCCCCAACUCGGCACCCCUCAAGCACAUGGGACCGCGGCGCCUCUGCUCUCCCAUCCAGGCGCCCCUUCCCCUAGCGAAUCCAUGGUGCUAGGAGGAUCUCCUCGGCCGGCGCUCCAACCUGGCAUCCAUGGCGCCAGUGCCCUGCACAGCGUCCCCCUCCCCUAGGCUCCUAGCGCGCAGAGCAUUUCUCUAGGUCCGAGCUCGAGCAGGUGAUCUCGUCCCCAUGGCCUGGGCUCCUUGUUGCUUCCUGCACGUACGCUGCCUCUCCCAAGUCGUGUCCGACCCCCUGCUCCUAUCUUCAGCCCCAUCCUCUCUCUGUUCUUUGCGCAGAGGAAGUUCUUCCCUAAUGGCCGACACCCUGCUCAGGAAAUGAAGCCGAUGCUUCAGCGGCCCCAUGUCCAGGAGCUCGACGCCGUCUUUCUUCCUGUGUCCCUUGCUGCAGGGGAGCAGUAGCUCUUCCUCCCCAGCUUCCAUUCCCCUGCAAGCGACCCCCUGCUCGGCUCCCUCUCCCCAGCAGCAGCUCCGGAUUUCUGUACGCCGACACGGAACUGCGCAUUCCCGACCCAAGGCGUCGCGUUAGUGUUUGGACAGCCCAUGUAGUGUCGUCGAUCUGCGCAGUCCCCAUCACAAUGCCGUCAAUCCGCGCUAGCUAUCAGUGUCGCGCCUCGUGCUCUGCCUAUGCGACGAAAUGCUAGCCGGUGGACAGCACAUGCGACUCACCGAUCCGGCCAGGUUGCUUUUGUUUUAUUUACGAUUUAGUCGAUGGCGUGAAUAUGUGCGUGAAAGUAUAAUUGUAUGAAUGGACGCGUGUAGAGAAGAAAAUAAGGUAGAAAAGAACUCGGAUGUUUUUAUAUUUUGAUAGGAAAAAUAUGUGAUGCGUUGUUUGAUGCGAAAA